rnacentral:rRNA from 1 species
GAUGAACGCUAGCGGCAGGCUUAACACAUGCAAGUCGAGGGGUAGUCUAGCAAUAGAUGAGACCGGCGCACGGGUGCGUAACGCGUAUGCAAUCUACCUUUUACAGAGGGAUAGCCCAGAGAAAUUUGGAUUAAUACCUCAUAGUAUAACGACUCGGCAUCGAGAUGUUAUUAAAGUUCCAACGGUAAAAGAUGAGCAUGCGUCCCAUUAGCUAGUUGGUGUGGUAACGGCACACCAAGGCAACGAUGGGUAGGGGUCCUGAGAGGGAGAUCCCCCACACUGGUACUGAGACACGGACCAGACUCCUACGGGAGGCAGCAGUGAGGAAUAUUGGUCAAUGGGCGCAAGCCUGAACCAGCCAUGCCGCGUGCAGGAUGACGGUCCUAUGGAUUGUAAACUGCUUUUGUACAGGAAGAAACACUCCCUCGUGAGGGAGCUUGACGGUACUGUAAGAAUAAGGAUCGGCUAACUCCGUGCCAGCAGCCGCGGUAAUACGGAGGAUCCAAGCGUUAUCCGGAAUCAUUGGGUUUAAAGGGUCCGUAGGCGGGUUUAUAAGUCAGUGGUGAAAGCCCAUCGCUCAACGAUGGAACGGCCAUUGAUACUGUAGAUCUUGAAUUAUUAGGAAGUAACUAGAAUAUGUAGUGUAGCGGUGAAUGCUUAGAGAUUACAUGGAAUACCAAUUGCGAAGGCAGGUUACUACUAAUGGAUUGACGCUGAUGGACGAAAGCGUGGGUAGCGAACAGGAUUAGAUACCCUGGUAGUCCACGCCGUAAACGAUGGAUACUAGCUGUUCGGAGCAAUCUGAGUGGCUAAGCGAAAGUGAUAAGUAUCCCACCUGGGGAGUACGUUCGCAAGAAUGAA